GAUGAAGAACGUAGCUAAAUGCGAUAAGUAAUGUGAAUUGCAGAUUUCAGUGAAUCAUCGAAUCUUUGAACGCACCUUGCGCCUUGUGGUAUUCCACAAGGCAUGCCCGUUUGAGUAUCAUUAAAUCAUCAACUCUAAAACCUUUGUGGUUUUUUUAGAGCUUGGUCUUGAGGGUUUUGCAGGCUUUUUUUUUUCGAGUCUGCUCCCUUUAAAUGCAUUAGCGAGACUUCCCUAUGCUGAACCGUCUCUUUGACGUGAUAAUUAUCUGCGUCGAAUUUUGGUUCUCGUUGGGCUUGCUUCUAAUCGUCUGUUAAAGACAAAACGGAUUUGGGUGCAUAUAUGCGCCUUUUUCCAAAACCUUUUUUGAUCUCAAAUCGGGUAGGACUACCCGCUGAACUUAAGCAUAUCAAUAAGCGGAGGA
rnacentral:misc_RNA from 1 species